CGGGAUCCCCGUGUUGGAACAGGAAUAAUAAUGGAAUUUUUCAAGAUGGGGGGAACAAUAUGCAAGUCCAGAGACUUCUGGGAGAUAGGACACCAGGCCUCUGCCAGCUCUUCACUGCAUGAUUUCAACAGACGCCCAGAAAUGCCAACUUGUCCAGUGGCCAUCCUGCGGCAGUUGUAUCCGGCCAAUUACCCCACUUUUCUGAGCCAUCCCGAUCUCUGCUCCACCCCUUCUG